CAACUGUCUUCCAGCCAAGGGUGCCCCUCUCCCGGUGUUACCCAGGCAACCUUCAGUCCCGCCUCCUUUAAGGUCCUGACUGGUUCAUAGCAAAAGUAGGUUGAAGCCCACCAGGAGGCAUUGAGCUUUGAAGGUUGUGAGUUGCCGGGAGAGAAGCAGAGAUGAGGUUUCAGGAGCUGCUGGAGAGAAAAGAUUCUGAUCUGCUCCCUCCCAGAAGAAACCAUAGUUGUGUCAAUCUCUGCCCCCUGGGCAGGUCCUGGCGCCAGAACCACACAUCAGGGAGCUCCUGCCCCAGGAGGUGCAUGAAGAGGCCUUAGGCUGGACCUGCCCACCCUGCCCAGUCACCGGUGGGACAUCUCUACCCGGCUGCACCUUAU
rnacentral:lncRNA from 1 species